AACGAACGCUGGCGGCAUGCCUAACACAUGCAAGUCGAACGAACCCUUCGGGGUUAGUGGCGCACGGGUGCGUAACGCGUGGGAAUCUGCCCUUUGCUUCGGAAUAACUCAGGGAAACUUGUGCUAAUACCGGAUGAUGUCUUCGGACCAAAGAUUUAUCGGCAAGGGAUGAGCCCGCGUAGGAUUAGGUAGUUGGUGGGGUAAAGGCCUACCAAGCCGACGAUCCUUAGCUGGUCUGAGAGGAUGAUCAGCCACACUGGGACUGAGACACGGCCCAGACCCCUACGGGAGGCAGCAGUGGGGAAUAUUGGACAAUGGGCGCAAGCCUGAUCCAGCAAUGCCGCGUGAGUGAUGAAGGCCCUCGGGUCGUAAAGCUCUUUUACCAGGGAUGAUAAUGACAGUACCUGGAGAAUAAGCUCCGGCUAACUCCGUG
rnacentral:rRNA from 1 species